rnacentral:lncRNA from 1 species
AGGGUUCCUGAGCAAAAGAGAAAAGGAGGUUUGACCAUGAGGCUUGGAGAAGGGAGAAGGGCUGGGGAGUACGGCAAGCAUCAAGGAAAUAUACUACUUUGGUUUUUAUGAAUAAUGAGCUAUUUUAAAUAUUAUUUAUUACUUUUUAGUCUUAGAGUAAUUUUUUUCUAGUGAGGAAUUUUGAAUGCAAGAUAAAGGAAGAGGGAUUUAUGAAGAGCUUGGUAUACUCAAAUUGAAAUCAUCUGGAUCUUGUUUAUAACAAAAUGACUGAAUUGUUCUAUACUUUGGUGCCUUAAUUUUCCUUUCAACAUCUCAACUUAUUAGUAAUAUAUGUAGAGCCUUUAGAGUUAAAUAGAGAAAAUCUCAACUUUAAGAUCUUAUUUUUACAGUACAAUUGAUCAAAUUAGGCAAAUAACUUAAAAUAUGUUGAAGAUUAGAUUCUUCACGGUCCUAUGGCAAGUGAAGGGCUUUCAGACAUCAUGUCAAAGUGUGAUUGAUUUUUAUUACUAUCUCAUUACUACUAAUACUAUUAGUAACAACAUUUUAAAAAAAUUCACUGAUAUAGCUCAAGAAUGAGUUGCUUACUGAGAGAAAAUCGAGACUGUUUUGGGGGUUCUUCCCUAAUUUUUCAAAGCAGUCACUAUCCUGACUUCCCACAAUACAUUCCAUGGAGCUGUUUCCUGAGACAGAAGUCUGCAACCGCUGGUCUGAUACAUGGCAUUUGUUGAACUACUUAUGUCAAAACAUUAUAUUUUCCUUUUCUUCAAGCUCGCUCUUUAUUUUACACUACAGUUUAUUUCACAUUGCAUUUUAUUUUAUACUGACCCUAGCUUAUUUGUGGCAGUGUAUGAAAUGUUGGUUUUUUAUUCUACAGGUCAUUUCUGGCUCUGUGGUUUUAGACUCAUCAUUGUUUACUGAGCUUUUAUUGUCACUAGAGACAGCUUUGCUUUUUUUAAAUUUUUUUGCAUUUUAAUAAAGUUUCCAAUCCUCUUGGACCCUCUCCCCUGAAGCAGCUCCAGCUCCCCAGGGCUGCUGAAGAGUUGAGCAGAGAAAGUAGAAGCUUUUGUGGACAGUGAUGCCGAUGGCAGAUAACUCCAGCUGUCAUUACAAGAUCAUCCAGAUAAGGAGGGGACAAUCAAGUAGGGCUUACAGUCCACUUGAGUUUUUCUGAUUGUAAAACCUGCCAUUUUUCAAUUUAAAUAAUUUAAGGAUUCCAGCUUCUCUAUACUCUAAGGCUCAUUUAGCCUCUUAUUAGCUAACUGUUUCUCCAGUUCAAGAGGUGGAAGGGAAGAGUGCAGAUUUUUUGUUAUUGUUAAUUCACAGCAGUGGGUAGUGGUGGGUAAAUAAAAAAUAAGCCAAACAAAUUUGAUGAGAAGAGAGAAUACAAAUCCAUACAAGUAAUCAUAAUUGAUUUUAAAAAGUUAAUUAAAAGGAAUAAUAAGGGACAGAUACUGCAAUGGCCUAGCAUAUUAUCAGUAGGCAAAUGACAGGAGAAUGAAUUAGAAAAUUGAUUCUCACCUAACUAAAAGAAGAAGACAGGCUAAUACAGCUCUUAAUUUUAACUUGAAAAAUCCAAAAUUCUUUUCUAAACUCUUUCCUUGUAUUCUGACAAAGAUAUUAUGUCACAUUAUUCCCAUUGAAGGAAAUGCUGAGAGGAACAGGAGGGCAAUAACAAAAUGAAGCUGUAAUUUCCCAGAGGAUUCAGCUCAGAACUGACUUACAGAAUCACCUGUGACAAAUCAAUGACAACAAAAUAGCUAAGAAACCAUAGUUUGCAUAAGGUCUUCCUUUUUUCUCUUAGUUGUUAAGACUCUUUUUUCCUUUAAAAUUUUGUAGCCUUUUCUUCUUCUUAAAUCUCUGUGACCAAAGGCUGAUAACCUACAGUAUAUUUUUCUCCAAGUAGUAUAUACAAGAGCUACCCCUCAAGGCAUUUACUCCCACACAAGAAAGGACAAGAAGAGCCUCGCCAGUAAGAAGGUGAGGCUCUUCUUGGACCUUUCAGGAGCAUCUUUUUGUGGGACUAUGUCUAAUAUUUUUGGGCUGGUUUUCUUGGAGAACUGUGCACACUAGCUAUGCCCAUGGGCCUCUUCUUUCCUUUGCUUAGGAGACACUUGCUCAGAUGCAGACAGAUUACCUGGCAUAAAGGUCAGAGCCUGAGUGAGAAGGUUGGUUAGUUAAUUAGAUAAAAUAUUUCCUGACAGAGAUAGGAUCCAUAGUUACCACCAAGAGUUGAAUCUGAUUGAAACUCUUUAAAUUGUUAGAAAGACAAUUUUGACAUGCACACUGUUGAGCAAACAAAGUCUUCAGCUGACACUUGAAUCUUCUUACGUAGAAGGUAACAUGGUAACAUCAGUAGCUAAGGAGUUACAGCAGGAAGAAAGACCAGGAAACAUUGUGUUAGGUUUUCUUUCCCUCCCUCCUCUUCCUUCCUUCCAUCUUUCCUCCUUGCUUUUUCCCCCUUCCUUUCCUUUCUAAUCUCCUUCUUUCUAAAUAAUGGAAACCCAUCUUUGAAUUACUAAAUGAUAGAUCUAAUUGUUGUUACGUAAGUAGGCCUCAAGAAAAUAUGGCAUAUCUUUAUUCAAAGAACGUAUUUUAAAUUUCUGGACUGAUGUUCUGCUUUUUUUUUCUUUCCCUUUUAUCUCAUUUUUGAAUUAGAGAAAAUAAAACAAGCAUAGGCAAAUAAGCUAUGAGUGCCAGAGAUAGGUAAAAUUGCUCCUGCUUCCUUUAUUUUCUUUCCUUUUCUUUUUUCUUUCUUUCUUUUUCCUCUCUCCCUCUCUCUUUGUGAUUUUUUUCCCCUGGACGUUAAGCUCUAUAAGAUAAGAUUGAUUUACUCAUUACUGUAUUUCCUAGCAUUUAGCACUGUCCGUAAAUAUCUGCUGGGUGAUUGAAUUAAUGGAUGUCCAUUAAUAUCCACAAAAUGAGGAUGAAGGAUUGGUAAAUUCAGAACCAUUUAACAUAAAUAACUUAAAUAGUACCUUACAGAUCUUUUUUUUUUUAAUGUGCAAAAGUGCUGUUAGAGGAAAGUUUCCCAAAAUGUAUUCAAUAAAACAUUAGCCCUGAAGAAUAAAAAUAGAUUUUUUAUGUGAAAUAGGUGAGGAAAGUCUAUGGAAAAAUUGUUUAGGAAACUCUAGUAUACAUAGUUCAAAGAGAUCUUUCCAAUAUGAUUUCUCAGAGUUUUUAAAAUACAAGUCUAUAAAUUUCUUAUAAAGGGACAUAACAUGCUAUAUUUCCAAAGAUUAUUUGACCAUGUCACUCUUUUACUUUGCACAUCUUAUAGGAAUAGUUUCCAUAAAACAUGUUUCCAUAAUACAUGCUUUGAGAAAAGUAGCAUCUUAAUUCAGCUUUACUUUCUUUAAUUCUUUUUCUUUUGAAUUUGUCUUAAUUAAUUAAUUUUUCCCACCAUGCAAGAUACCCCCAGGUACAAAAAUGUGAAUAUAGUUAAGUAUUGAACUUUACACUUAAAAAAAUGGUUUAGAUGUGUUUUUUUCAACCACAAUUGAAAAUUUAAAAAUACAAAAUAUUACUAAGUAAUAAAUGAAUCAAUAUUUUACAUAAAGUCUACAGUAAUGCACCAAAUUUAAUGUAUUGCCAAAUAGAGGGCUUGAUUUUGGUCUGCAACAUUUUACUCAAUUGCAUUACCUACCUUGAUAUUGUAUCCUCAGUAAAUAUCUUGAUUUUGAACACUGGGCUAUAGAUAUCUUAGUGUGUGUUUUUAGUAAUGCUGUUUAGGAUGACAAUACAAAAAGACCCAUAACUGUGUAGGAAAAGUUUAUUGCAGUUUAGUAGGUUUAAGACUAAGGGACAAGUGGUUGGUUGUCACUGAUUCAGAGUGCCACUUUAAGUAAACUCUGCUUUCCUUAUCUGUAAGAGAGGCUCAGUCAAUAGUAUUUUACUUUUUCCCUCCAUCAUGGGAUUCCAAUUUUACGUGGGGCUCUAAUAGACACAGCAGAUAAAGGCAGGAGGUAAGAGGCCAAUUGGUCUCCCUUCCCCCACAGCCCUAAGUAGCCCCAAAGAGCCUAAGAGCUCAAGGGAACACAGUUUGAAAAUCAUGAGACUGGAUAAUCUUUAGAGUUUUUCCCAAGCCUUACUCCUGCCACUAGGAGUAAGGCUGAGGUAGAAAAGAAUGUUUAUAUCCAUAUUAAAGCCUGUAAUAUUAUACAGACCCACAAAGCAUUCAGAUAUAAUGGAACAUAGAAUACUGCCAUACCACAUGUGGCAAGCACCUUUGGAAUUUCAACAUAUAUUUUAGAUUAAAAAAUAAAACUAUUAUCAGAAUGUACUCUUCCUUCAGUCCUUUAUAGAUACAUUUCAAGAUAUAGACUCGGUGGUGAAUUAAAAUUGAAUGCAAAUAUUGUCACUGAAACGUUGCCCAUUUAUAUGGUUUUCUAAGACUCUUCUCGUUUUUAAUGGGCAAGGUUUUGCUGAAAACAAAAAAUGUUAAUUACAUAAAUAUGCGUAUUCUUUUCAAAGCAUUACACUAUAUUAUGGUUAAAAAAACAAUAGAGAAAUAAACACAAAACUUUCAACAGAAAUACUGCUUCUUGAACAGCUUUUAAAAGUAUGACAUGUUUACUGGGAAAAUGCAUUACUCAUGACAGGGUUACAAAAGCAAUAUUAACCUUCUUGAAAUUUAAUAGCAAAAUUCAGACAUGUAGAAAUAAGUACCAGACAUGGUAACAUAACUACUUUUGUUAAGAUUGUAUGUAGGAUAAAACAGAUAUUUAAAGCUACAUUAAGAUGUGGGUAAAUAAAUGAUCCUUUAAAAGAUUCACAGCACAUAUGCAUCAUGACUAAAAUCAUGAUGCAGAUUGUGCUAGAAUAGCAUUCUUGGAAAUGGAAAACCUUGUGCUUUCUUUUGCUUCUGUUAUUUUGGGCACUGUUGCUUUUGCAGUUUUGCACAGAGUGUCAGACAUUAAAUUUGCCCUUAGAU